rnacentral:lncRNA from 1 species
UUUUAUAACUACGUUUAAAAUUAAAAUAAACUGAAGCUAUUGAACCAAUUAAUAGAUUUAAAACUUAUUUUUACAUAUAGAUAGAUGUAAUUGAAAUAUAUCAAGAAAUUUUUCGAUGCAUUUAGCACAUAAAAUCCUCCAAAAAAUAAGGAAAACAGUUAAAUAAUAUAACAUGAAGGAUUCAACAAAAACAACCAACAAGGAACAUCACAUUAUUCUUGGAUAACGGCAAUAAUUGUAUCAUUACUGAUUAUCAUCAGUUCUUCAUGGCGCAUCUCUCUAUGCAGGUAUUGACGCAGCCGACAACUUCCUUUGAAGCUGACAAAAACAAAACAAAUCAUUAAGUUAAUAUACGUACUUACUUACCAUCAAAUAUUAAUAUAAAACGGAAAAAGAAAAAUUACCAGGCAUCCUCCCUUGGCUGCUUAGCAUUGAACAUGUCAUGGCAGCACACCCAACAGUGCAGAAUACGGAGCUGCUCGCGAGGUGGGUUUCCUCCAAUGUCUCCACCAGUGCUUCUGACGGCAGGCAGCGUUGAAUACAUUCCCCAAGGGAAGUUCCGUUGGCGACGCAAGUCGUUACGCAAAAAGUAUACCCAAGUCCAAUCGGGACAAGUGCUGUAACAGCUUGACGCGAGGGACUAACAAGGAUCAACAACAGCAAACAGAACAUCAACGCCAAUGAUUUCCCCCCCAUUAUGUAUAUAUUUGAUUUGAUUUGAUAAUGAUUUUUUUGCACUGCUUGAUAUCGGUGUUAUAUACACUUUGAUUGUCAUGCCAAACUACCAAACUGCCUAAUUAAGAUGCCAAACUAUAAUGCCAAAAUUUGAUUGAAUGCAAAAUUAAAAGAACAUUUCUAUAAGUAAUCAAAAUAAUUUGAAAUGAAUUUGUCAUGCCAAACUACAUGGAAAAUGUCUAAUGUCUUGUCCUUUUUUUAGAAUUCUUCCUAAUAAUCUAAAUUCUUCCUAACCAUCCCAAAUAUUCUGAUUGUCAAUGUUCUUUCUCAGAUGUCAUGAAUCACAAAUGAACACUAAACCUUUAACUUCAUAUUUUAAACAUUAACAUCGAAGUAAACACUUAAACCGUGCAAAUAAAAUCUUGAUUCUCACCUUCACAGUGACUGUAUCCAUCUCCUUUGAUUUGCUCGCUAUCAACCAAGAGACAUUCACAAACUCUUCCUCGAAAUGUAUCUUAAGAAGAAAAUCAAUAUAUUCAAAUAAGCUCAUGGAGUAGAGAAUCCCUAUCAAAUCUGUUUCGAUUCAUACCCUGCAGGCUGUGAGAUUUGCUGCUUUUUCUUGCCAACAACCACCAUCAUUUUCCAAGCAUUCAUUCGUCUCCACAUCUGUGAAAAAAGUAACCGCCAUCACUGGUGUUUCAAAUAACAACUGGACAGUAAGUUGAAACACUACACUGGAUUUCUAAAAGCCUAGCUCUCGCCUAUGUUACUUAGUGUGAGAGUUGGAUAAGACAUAUGUCUGACAUGGACAUGUGCAAGUUGUUCUUCAUUUUCCCUGUAUUCAGAGUGUUUUUGGAGGGUCACAUCCCCAUACUCGUCUAUGAAAACGUGUCAGACACGGGUUCUCAAGAGAGGUAAAGAGUCAGCACCCCUAAGUGGAACCAGACUAAAAUACUUCUCUUGCAAGAAAAAUAAAACAAGACAAACUCACCACCACUCGAACAAACAGCUGGUUCAGUAGUCUCCUCGAAGCCGGCACAUAUGGCCUUCAAAACAGCACCUUUGGCCAGCUUUCCUGCAUGCAGAUAUGUUAAACGCGGAAAGCACCCAAAAUUUUAUCUGGGAAAUACGGGUAUAAAUACGAACCUCGAUAUUGGCGAUUGUUGACAACAAGUCUAGGCAAUAUGGUAACAUCUCCUCUAGAUCCUUUCCCCGCCUAUGAAAAUGUUUCUAUUAAAUAGCCUCAAAAAGGUCAAAGAAGACAACGAAUUGGAAAAAGAGUAGUGAAACAUAAAAUAUCUUAGCCUGAGAGGACUACUUGAGCAUCUUGUUCUUCUUCCAGAACAGGAUUCUCCAUAUCAGCAUCUGGAUCUCCCAAACACUUUUCGAUCUUUUUAGCGUCAAGCCCUGAAUGGAUGACAAAGGAAUAUCAUCAAUUUAUUACUAGUUUCCAGCAAGAUUUUGAGUUUUCACUGUGCUAUUAAUACUAACAGAAAUUUGAAGAUAAACCGAGGAUCUUCCAAUUAACUGUUUACCAAGAGAUUUGAUAACACCGUCUGCACAUUCCUUAUUAUAUCUUUUCUACUUCAUUGGCCAUCUUAUUUCAAAAUCAGUCACAUAGUCCCACCACACCCAAGGCCUAUUGGUCUCAUUUGCCACUUUGAAAACGCAAAGCUGCCUUAAGGUCUCAAUAACUACAUCUUUCCCUUCAUAACCUGAGCUAAAACCUUGUUCAGGAUCCGGUGCACAGUAUCUUCCGCGGUUGAUGCAUUGAGAUAUGCACUGCCGGCUUAGGGUGAAAGCUUGAGGGCAGUACCAAGUUAUAUAAUGGGGUGUGAACUGCGUAUAGCCACCUUUUUCGAGAAUCUUAGCAGCACCCUUGAAAUCCUUCACAAAUGCCAUCAGCAUAUCGCAUUUAACUCCACAUUCAUCAUUGCUCUUGGUCCAUAACUCGUACUCGUCACGAUCAUCAGGGUUAGAGUUUCACCAGAAGUUUUCUCGAUAAGGGCAGAUGAACUGUCCUCUUCGCGAUUGUCCCUGGUUAUUAAUGCUUCUUCUAUGUCAUCCGCAACAAGCACUGCAGAAGCACUGCUUGCCAUACAUUCCAAAUCUUUAAAGCAAAGAAGCAAUCUGGAGAAAUAAUAAGAAAAAAGGCGCUAAAUGCAGUCUCCGCAAAUAUAUAUAUAUAUCAAAAACUAAAGAAAAAUUACAUCUAAGACCAUAACUCAAUCAAGGACAAUAAGCAAAUUUUACAACCUUGGCAGCAACUGGAGUCCGUAUAUAGGCAACACUUCAGAUUUUUCUCAUCUCUUUAACAGUGUAAUCACAUUAUAGUAAUGUAACUGAAUUAUCUAAUCCGGAAGUAACUAUAAGCCAUUACUACCUAAUGCUUAGAUCAACCAGCAUUCUGAACCUCAUUUUUAUCACCAUACAUCUGUUUGAGAACCAACCAAACUCAAAUCGUACACUCUAAAUCUAUGUUCACUCGGACUCGGGUAUGAGUUUCAAAUGUAGGCACAUGUUUGAGACGGAUAUGUUAGUUUUGGUUUUUCAUGUAUCUGGAGGAUCUUUGAAAAGUCAUGUGUCGCCCAUAUGCAUGUUCGGAUAUUGAGUCUAGAACGGGUACUUCAGACGGAUAUCCAGAGGAUCAUUAACAGCAUAAUCGCGUUGCAGUAAUGUAACUGAAUUAUCUAAUCCGGAGGUAACUAUAAGCCAUUACUACGAAAUGCUUAGAUCACCAUUAUUUUGAAACUCGUUUUUAUUAUCAUCCAUCUGUUUAAGAACCAACCAAACUCAAAUCAUACACUCUAAAUCUCUGUUUACUCCGACUUGGGUAUGAGUUUCAAAUAAAGGUAUGUGUUUGACACUGAUAUAUUCAAUUUUUCUUCAUGUACCUAGGGGAUCUUUGAGAAGACAUAUCACCGCACACAUGUUCAGAUAUUGAGUCCAAAACCGGUACUUCAAGCAAAACUGAGACUCAGAGAAACUUAGCUCUAAACCACUUUAUCCAUACUGGAGAAAACUAUACGCCAUUACUACGAAAUUCUUAGAUAACCAGCAUUUUGAAAUUCAUUUUUAUUAUCAUACAUCUGCCUUGAGAACCAACCCAACCCAAAGCAUAUAUGUUCACUUGGACUCUGGGUGUGAGUUUCAAAUACAGGUAUGUGUUUGACACGGAUAUAUUCAAAUUUUUGUUCAUGUACCUAGAAGGAUCUUUGAAAAAUCAGAUCACCGUACACAUGUUCGGAUAUUGAGUCUAAAACUGGUACUUAAAGCAAAACCAAGAAUCUGAGAAACUUAGCUCUACUUUUGUAGACACCUCUAAGGCUACAUCCCUAUGAAAGGAGGGAAAUGAAGCUAAAUGAAUGGACCUAAUUUCAGAAAACAACUAGUAAGAUAAAAAGAGAGAAAGACAUCCGUCCAAACAACUUAAAGCAAAGCUGAAAACAAGUAAAUUAAUUCAUAAAUGAACGGAUAAAUAUAUAAAUAAUGAUAAUGAAAUCAAUGGAAACUGAUAAACCUAAAUUUAUUUAAAUGAAUUAGUUAAAAUAUAAUAACAUAAAUCCAAGUAGAUGGAAAAACCAAAUCUAUUAACCCUCAAAUCCCAAACUAUCAAAUAGAUUAUUGCCCCAUAAAUAAACCAAAUCCAACAAAUUGAACUUUAAACCUACUAUUUAAAUUCCCCAAUUUGGAAUUACUCAAAUUAGCUAAAACAACACAAAAAUUCCUCAUUGAUCAACCCUACAACAAACAAAUUAUAGCUCAAAUAAACAAAACCAUAGAUUAAUUUUUCUUAGAAGGCGAAAAUUUUGAAAAAAAGAAGAAGAAAAGUGUACCUCCACGAUCGACCAGAACAUAGGUAGGAAGAGAACCAGGCUUGGAUAUAACCGAAAUCCCAAAGUCAUCAAAACCUUUACAAGCUUUUCGGUUUUCUUCAGGGUAAACCACAACACCAGCCAUGCUUCCACCACAUUGAGGUAUCCCAAAGUUCCCAAUCGCACUAUCAUGGGUUGCUUUAAUCUUCUCCGGCGAUGUUACCGCCAAGCUCUUCUUUUCCACCACGAAUCUCGCGUAACAAUUGCGUAUCAAAGAUAAUAAAAUAAACACUUGAGGAAGAUGAUGAUGAUGGAAUGUUCGUAGCUCCAUAUCUUUACUUUUGGUUUUGGAUUUGGAUUGGAUCAGUUUUAAGGACGAUACUGAUGAAGAAGAUGAAGAUCGUGUAUGAAAAACAUGUAAAAUGAAAUGGUUUUUUUGAAAAAAAUAAAAACAGUGAAAAUCGCCAUUAAAUAAUUCUAUGAUUCUUUUAUUUGUUUUAAAUGAAUUUAGAACACAGUUAGUGAAAUUUUGACACGCUACUAAUAAAUAAUCUUAGUCAUUUAUAGAUUAAACAUUUUUCUUUUUUUUAAACAGUGCAAUGAGACCAAAUCCAGUCAUCUGAAGUAAACUUAAUGGGUUUAUGUUUUUCUUAGCCCCUAAAUUUUCACCUACCGUUUAAUUUAGUACAUGUUAAAAAAAAUCCAAUUUAGUCAUUUGUAUUAUACGUGACGGUCUUCUACAUAUACGAAGUCGUUUAAGUUUCGUUCCGGUGAAGAUUUCAAUAUGCUUAGCAUGUUCCAAAGUCCUUUGGCCCAUUCUAGCCAGUAUCGGCCCGUAUCAAUUGGUACAAAAUUUUGAUAUUUAAACUUAUCUUUUAAUUUUUUAUCUUAAACAUUUUAACUUUUUAUAACUACGUUUAAAAUUAAAAUAAACUGAAGCUAUUGAACCAAUUAAUAGAUUUAAAACUUAUUUUUACAUAUAGAUAGAUGUAAUUGAAAUAUAUCAAGAAAUUUUUCGAUGCAUUUAGCACAUAAAAUCCUCCAAAAAAUAAGGAAAACAGUUAAAUAAUAUAACAUGAAGGAUUCAACAAAAACAACCAACAAGGAACAUCACAUUAUUCUUGGAUAACGGCAAUAAUUGUAUCAUUACUGAUUAUCAUCAGUUCUUCAUGGCGCAUCUCUCUAUGCAGGUAUUGACGCAGCCGACAACUUCCUUUGAAGCUGACAAAAACAAAACAAAUCAUUAAGUUAAUAUACGUACUUACUUACCAUCAAAUAUUAAUAUAAAACGGAAAAAGAAAAAUUACCAGGCAUCCUCCCUUGGCUGCUUAGCAUUGAACAUGUCAUGGCAGCACACCCAACAGUGCAGAAUACGGAGCUGCUCGCGAGGUGGGUUUCCUCCAAUGUCUCCACCAGUGCUUCUGACGGCAGGCAGCGUUGAAUACAUUCCCCAAGGGAAGUUCCGUUGGCGACGCAAGUCGUUACGCAAAAAGUAUACCCAAGUCCAAUCGGGACAAGUGCUGUAACAGCUUGACGCGAGGGACUAACAAGGAUCAACAACAGCAAACAGAACAUCAACGCCAAUGAUUUCCCCCCCAUUAUGUAUAUAUUUGAUUUGAUUUGAUAAUGAUUUUUUUGCACUGCUUGAUAUCGGUGUUAUAUACACUUUGAUUGUCAUGCCAAACUACCAAACUGCCUAAUUAAGAUGCCAAACUAUAAUGCCAAAAUUUGAUUGAAUGCAAAAUUAAAAGAACAUUUCUAUAAGUAAUCAAAAUAAUUUGAAAUGAAUUUGUCAUGCCAAACUACAUGGAAAAUGUCUAAUGUCUUGUCCUUUUUUUAGAAUUCUUCCUAAUAAUCUAAAUUCUUCCUAACCAUCCCAAAUAUUCUGAUUGUCAAUGUUCUUUCUCAGAUGUCAUGAAUCACAAAUGAACACUAAACCUUUAACUUCAUAUUUUAAACAUUAACAUCGAAGUAAACACUUAAACCGUGCAAAUAAAAUCUUGAUUCUCACCUUCACAGUGACUGUAUCCAUCUCCUUUGAUUUGCUCGCUAUCAACCAAGAGACAUUCACAAACUCUUCCUCGAAAUGUAUCUUAAGAAGAAAAUCAAUAUAUUCAAAUAAGCUCAUGGAGUAGAGAAUCCCUAUCAAAUCUGUUUCGAUUCAUACCCUGCAGGCUGUGAGAUUUGCUGCUUUUUCUUGCCAACAACCACCAUCAUUUUCCAAGCAUUCAUUCGUCUCCACAUCUGUGAAAAAAGUAACCGCCAUCACUGGUGUUUCAAAUAACAACUGGACAGUAAGUUGAAACACUACACUGGAUUUCUAAAAGCCUAGCUCUCGCCUAUGUUACUUAGUGUGAGAGUUGGAUAAGACAUAUGUCUGACAUGGACAUGUGCAAGUUGUUCUUCAUUUUCCCUGUAUUCAGAGUGUUUUUGGAGGGUCACAUCCCCAUACUCGUCUAUGAAAACGUGUCAGACACGGGUUCUCAAGAGAGGUAAAGAGUCAGCACCCCUAAGUGGAACCAGACUAAAAUACUUCUCUUGCAAGAAAAAUAAAACAAGACAAACUCACCACCACUCGAACAAACAGCUGGUUCAGUAGUCUCCUCGAAGCCGGCACAUAUGGCCUUCAAAACAGCACCUUUGGCCAGCUUUCCUGCAUGCAGAUAUGUUAAACGCGGAAAGCACCCAAAAUUUUAUCUGGGAAAUACGGGUAUAAAUACGAACCUCGAUAUUGGCGAUUGUUGACAACAAGUCUAGGCAAUAUGGUAACAUCUCCUCUAGAUCCUUUCCCCGCCUAUGAAAAUGUUUCUAUUAAAUAGCCUCAAAAAGGUCAAAGAAGACAACGAAUUGGAAAAAGAGUAGUGAAACAUAAAAUAUCUUAGCCUGAGAGGACUACUUGAGCAUCUUGUUCUUCUUCCAGAACAGGAUUCUCCAUAUCAGCAUCUGGAUCUCCCAAACACUUUUCGAUCUUUUUAGCGUCAAGCCCUGAAUGGAUGACAAAGGAAUAUCAUCAAUUUAUUACUAGUUUCCAGCAAGAUUUUGAGUUUUCACUGUGCUAUUAAUACUAACAGAAAUUUGAAGAUAAACCGAGGAUCUUCCAAUUAACUGUUUACCAAGAGAUUUGAUAACACCGUCUGCACAUUCCUUAUUAUAUCUUUUCUACUUCAUUGGCCAUCUUAUUUCAAAAUCAGUCACAUAGUCCCACCACACCCAAGGCCUAUUGGUCUCAUUUGCCACUUUGAAAACGCAAAGCUGCCUUAAGGUCUCAAUAACUACAUCUUUCCCUUCAUAACCUGAGCUAAAACCUUGUUCAGGAUCCGGUGCACAGUAUCUUCCGCGGUUGAUGCAUUGAGAUAUGCACUGCCGGCUUAGGGUGAAAGCUUGAGGGCAGUACCAAGUUAUAUAAUGGGGUGUGAACUGCGUAUAGCCACCUUUUUCGAGAAUCUUAGCAGCACCCUUGAAAUCCUUCACAAAUGCCAUCAGCAUAUCGCAUUUAACUCCACAUUCAUCAUUGCUCUUGGUCCAUAACUCGUACUCGUCACGAUCAUCAGGGUUAGAGUUUCACCAGAAGUUUUCUCGAUAAGGGCAGAUGAACUGUCCUCUUCGCGAUUGUCCCUGGUUAUUAAUGCUUCUUCUAUGUCAUCCGCAACAAGCACUGCAGAAGCACUGCUUGCCAUACAUUCCAAAUCUUUAAAGCAAAGAAGCAAUCUGGAGAAAUAAUAAGAAAAAAGGCGCUAAAUGCAGUCUCCGCAAAUAUAUAUAUAUAUCAAAAACUAAAGAAAAAUUACAUCUAAGACCAUAACUCAAUCAAGGACAAUAAGCAAAUUUUACAACCUUGGCAGCAACUGGAGUCCGUAUAUAGGCAACACUUCAGAUUUUUCUCAUCUCUUUAACAGUGUAAUCACAUUAUAGUAAUGUAACUGAAUUAUCUAAUCCGGAAGUAACUAUAAGCCAUUACUACCUAAUGCUUAGAUCAACCAGCAUUCUGAACCUCAUUUUUAUCACCAUACAUCUGUUUGAGAACCAACCAAACUCAAAUCGUACACUCUAAAUCUAUGUUCACUCGGACUCGGGUAUGAGUUUCAAAUGUAGGCACAUGUUUGAGACGGAUAUGUUAGUUUUGGUUUUUCAUGUAUCUGGAGGAUCUUUGAAAAGUCAUGUGUCGCCCAUAUGCAUGUUCGGAUAUUGAGUCUAGAACGGGUACUUCAGACGGAUAUCCAGAGGAUCAUUAACAGCAUAAUCGCGUUGCAGUAAUGUAACUGAAUUAUCUAAUCCGGAGGUAACUAUAAGCCAUUACUACGAAAUGCUUAGAUCACCAUUAUUUUGAAACUCGUUUUUAUUAUCAUCCAUCUGUUUAAGAACCAACCAAACUCAAAUCAUACACUCUAAAUCUCUGUUUACUCCGACUUGGGUAUGAGUUUCAAAUAAAGGUAUGUGUUUGACACUGAUAUAUUCAAUUUUUCUUCAUGUACCUAGGGGAUCUUUGAGAAGACAUAUCACCGCACACAUGUUCAGAUAUUGAGUCCAAAACCGGUACUUCAAGCAAAACUGAGACUCAGAGAAACUUAGCUCUAAACCACUUUAUCCAUACUGGAGAAAACUAUACGCCAUUACUACGAAAUUCUUAGAUAACCAGCAUUUUGAAAUUCAUUUUUAUUAUCAUACAUCUGCCUUGAGAACCAACCCAACCCAAAGCAUAUAUGUUCACUUGGACUCUGGGUGUGAGUUUCAAAUACAGGUAUGUGUUUGACACGGAUAUAUUCAAAUUUUUGUUCAUGUACCUAGAAGGAUCUUUGAAAAAUCAGAUCACCGUACACAUGUUCGGAUAUUGAGUCUAAAACUGGUACUUAAAGCAAAACCAAGAAUCUGAGAAACUUAGCUCUACUUUUGUAGACACCUCUAAGGCUACAUCCCUAUGAAAGGAGGGAAAUGAAGCUAAAUGAAUGGACCUAAUUUCAGAAAACAACUAGUAAGAUAAAAAGAGAGAAAGACAUCCGUCCAAACAACUUAAAGCAAAGCUGAAAACAAGUAAAUUAAUUCAUAAAUGAACGGAUAAAUAUAUAAAUAAUGAUAAUGAAAUCAAUGGAAACUGAUAAACCUAAAUUUAUUUAAAUGAAUUAGUUAAAAUAUAAUAACAUAAAUCCAAGUAGAUGGAAAAACCAAAUCUAUUAACCCUCAAAUCCCAAACUAUCAAAUAGAUUAUUGCCCCAUAAAUAAACCAAAUCCAACAAAUUGAACUUUAAACCUACUAUUUAAAUUCCCCAAUUUGGAAUUACUCAAAUUAGCUAAAACAACACAAAAAUUCCUCAUUGAUCAACCCUACAACAAACAAAUUAUAGCUCAAAUAAACAAAACCAUAGAUUAAUUUUUCUUAGAAGGCGAAAAUUUUGAAAAAAAGAAGAAGAAAAGUGUACCUCCACGAUCGACCAGAACAUAGGUAGGAAGAGAACCAGGCUUGGAUAUAACCGAAAUCCCAAAGUCAUCAAAACCUUUACAAGCUUUUCGGUUUUCUUCAGGGUAAACCACAACACCAGCCAUGCUUCCACCACAUUGAGGUAUCCCAAAGUUCCCAAUCGCACUAUCAUGGGUUGCUUUAAUCUUCUCCGGCGAUGUUACCGCCAAGCUCUUCUUUUCCACCACGAAUCUCGCGUAACAAUUGCGUAUCAAAGAUAAUAAAAUAAACACUUGAGGAAGAUGAUGAUGAUGGAAUGUUCGUAGCUCCAUAUCUUUACUUUUGGUUUUGGAUUUGGAUUGGAUCAGUUUUAAGGACGAUACUGAUGAAGAAGAUGAAGAUCGUGUAUGAAAAACAUGUAAAAUGAAAUGGUUUUUUUGAAAAAAAUAAAAACAGUGAAAAUCGCCAUUAAAUAAUUCUAUGAUUCUUUUAUUUGUUUUAAAUGAAUUUAGAACACAGUUAGUGAAAUUUUGACACGCUACUAAUAAAUAAUCUUAGUCAUUUAUAGAUUAAACAUUUUUCUUUUUUUUAAACAGUGCAAUGAGACCAAAUCCAGUCAUCUGAAGUAAACUUAAUGGGUUUAUGUUUUUCUUAGCCCCCAAAUUUUCACCUACCGUGUAAUUUAGUACAUGUUAAAAAAAUCCAAUUUAGUCAUUUGUAUUAUACGUGACGGUCUUCUACAUAUACGAAGUCGUUUAAGUUUCGUUCCGGUGAAGAUUUCAAUAUGCUUCGCAUGUUCCAAAGUCCUUUGGCCCAUUCUAGCCAGUAUCGGCCCGUAUCAAUUGGUACAAAAUUUUGAUAUUUAAACUUAUCUUUUAAUUUUUUAUCUUAAACAUUUUAACUUUUUAUAACUACGUUUAAAAUUAAAAUAAACUGAAGCUAUUGAACCAAUUAAUAGAUUUAAAACUUAUUUUUACAUAUAGAUAGAUGUCAUUGAAAUAUAUCAAGAAAAUUUUCGGUGCAUUUAGCACAUAAAAUCCUCCAAAAAUAAGGAAAACAGUUAAAUAAUAUAACAUGAAGGAUUCAACAAAAACAACAAAGGAACAUCACAUUAUUCUUGGAUAACGGCAAUAAUUGUAUCAUUACUGAUUAUCAUCAGUUCUUCAUGGCGCAUCUCUCUAUGCAGGUAUUGACGCAGCCGACAACUUCCUUUGAAGCUGACAAAAACAAAACAAAUCAUUAAGUUAAUAUACGUACUUACUUACCAUCAAAUAUUAAUAUAAAACGGAAAAAGAAAAAUUACCAGGCAUCCUCCCUUGGCUGCUUAGCAUUGAACAUGUCAUGGCAGCACACCCAACAGUGCAGAAUACGGAGCUGCUCGCGAGGUGGGUUUCCUCCAAUGUCUCCACCAGUGCUUCUGACGGCAGGCAGCGUUGAAUACAUUCCCCAAGGGAAGUUCCGUUGGCGACGCAAGUCGUUACGCAAAAAGUAUACCCAAGUCCAAUCGGGACAAGUGCUGUAACAGCUUGACGCGAGGGACUAACAAGGAUCAACAACAGCAAACAGAACAUCAACGCCAAUGAUUUCCCCCCCAUUAUGUAUAUAUUUGAUUUGAUUUGAUAAUGAUUUUUUUGCACUGCUUGAUAUCGGUGUUAUAUACACUUUGAUUGUCAUGCCAAACUACCAAACUGCCUAAUUAAGAUGCCAAACUAUAAUGCCAAAAUUUGAUUGAAUGCAAAAUUAAAAGAACAUUUCUAUAAGUAAUCAAAAUAAUUUGAAAUGAAUUUGUCAUGCCAAACUACAUGGAAAAUGUCUAAUGUCUUGUCCUUUUUUUAGAAUUCUUCCUAAUAAUCUAAAUUCUUCCUAACCAUCCCAAAUAUUCUGAUUGUCAAUGUUCUUUCUCAGAUGUCAUGAAUCACAAAUGAACACUAAACCUUUAACUUCAUAUUUUAAACAUUAACAUCGAAGUAAACACUUAAACCGUGCAAAUAAAAUCUUGAUUCUCAC